rnacentral:rRNA from 1 species
GGGUGAGUAACACGUGAGAAUUUGCCUUUAGGAGGGGGAUAACAAUUGGAAACGACUGCUAAUACCCCAUAUGCUUUCGAGUGAAAUGAAUUAUUUCGCCUAGAGAGAAGCUCGCGGCUGAUUAGCUUGUUGGUAGGGUAAGUGCCUACCAAGGCGACGAUCAGUAUCUGGUUUGAGAGGACGAUCAGACACACUGGAACUGAGACACGGUCCAGACUCCUACGGGAGGCAGCAGUGGGGAAUUUUCCGCAAUGGGCGAAAGCCUGACGGAGCAAUACCGCGUGAGGGAAGAAUGCCUAUGGGUUGUAAACCUCUUUUUUCAGGGAGGAAUAAAAAUGACGUGUACCUGAA